CUUCAGCGUGGCUUGAUGAGUGGUGCCAUGUUUGUGCCCAGGAUCUGAACCAGCGAAAUCCCAGGCCGCCAAAGCAGAGCGCGCAAACUUAAUCACUCGGCCAUGCGGCCGGCCCCCAUCAUUUGCUUUUGAGUGAAGACAGAGACAUUUGAUUCUGGCCCCUGCCCUCCAGAGCUUACAAUCUCAUAGGAGGAUGGGCAUAUACACCAGGGGAGUUUCAUGUGGAAAGAUCACCAGCUGAGGCCUGCCUUCUGGUCCAGACGUGAAUUCGUUGUGUGACCUUGGGCAAGUCACUUACCCUCUCUGAUCUUGGUUUCUCGUCCAUAAAAUGAGAAAGCUAGGGUUAAUCACUGGGUUAAACCUUGGUUUUUCCUCUUAGCAAUGGGACCUGUCAUUCCAACAAAAUCCAACACAGGACUCUGCCCAAAAAGUAGAGCUGCUCUGCUUCUGAGAAGUGGGGAGCCCACUCUGGCUUCUUUCUCUUCUUUUCCGAUAAUUGCUCUCAGUGUCUCUGAUUGUAAGGCCUGAACCACACUGAGAAAGCUCAGGACAGCUUCCGUGGAGGAAGUUGGGUGGAUUCAAAGGCUAGAAGGAUUUUGAUGCAUAGAGGGGUGGAGCGGGCACACCAGGUGGGAAGUAGGAUGUGAGAAAAGAUGCAGACACAGAGACAAUAGGCAGGGUCUAUGCUGGCACAGAGGCAGCCUGGCUGGACCAGGAGUCCUACAGGAGAAGAGUGGACAGAGCCCAAGGAAGGGGUUCCCAGGUGGUAUCCGUGGGGACUUCACAGGAGCAUCGAGGGGCAAUGAUUAUGUCUGCAGGCUCCUUCCUACGGGAGGGCGUGGUGUGCCCUGCUGUGAGCGGAUGGGGAAGAACCAGCUCCAAGGAAAUAGUAAGAAUAAUAGUGUCCCCUUCAGAGGGUUGUUUGAGGGUGAAAUUAGUUCCUGUGCCUAAGGCCCCAGAACAGCGCCUGGCAGGCGAAAAGCACUGUAACAAGCCUUUGUUACACACAUUCAGACCAGAGUGCACCCUGAGGCAGCCAAAGUGGUGCAUCCUUCCUGGCUUCUGGCCUAGCAUUGGUAGUGAUGGCCUAGAAUUCGCUAGCUUCUAUGCUCAACAAUUAUGGUGAUUAUGAGAUGUGUAUGUGCCUGUGUGUUGGGGGCGGGGGGUGGGGAGUGUUGCUGCAGGUGUCCUUCUGCAGCUCCCUGACACACACACACUUCCUCCCUCAGUCCUUCCUCUGUUGCUGGGGUGCUCCUGGCCACCGUCCCACCCUCCAGAGCCCCUGAUUUCCUUCCCCGCCCGCUGUUCCAAGCCCACACCUUGCUCUCAGCCUCCUCCCUCCCCUCUCCCUCAGCCCCUGGCCCUCUCACUCACCAUAAAUCUGAAACUCUGGAGUGUGUGUGUGUGUGUUGGGGGGCCGGGGUGGGGGGGAGCCGGUGGAAAACCAGCAAACCAAACCAACCCCAGCUAAUGAAAACGGCGAUAAAUCUCUGUCUAUCAGGUUUGUUGUGAGCACAAACAUUGCCAAACAAGGGCCCAGAUGGCUUGCAGGCCCUCCUCCCCCGGCCUGCAGAGCUUUAAAUGGAGAUGGUUGCUUUCUACAUCUAUUUACUACUCGGAGAUGGGGGAUGAUUGAGUCCAGGGUGCCUGGCCAGGAAACAGGGGACAGGCCUGGUGGGAACCCUCUGCGCCCCAUACCUGAGCAGGACUCCUCCAGCCAGUCCCCGACCUCCCCCAUCCCUGCUCCUGGAGACAGCUAGGGAGAAGCCCCCUCUGACAGAGCCAGAGGGGGGAGGGGAGGGAAAAGACAGCCCCUGGGCUGAUGAUAUUCAGCCCUCCACAGCCCAGCCUCGACCUGCUCCAAUUACCAGACACACACCCGUGGGCAGCCAGCCCCAGAUCCCCACUGUUGCUUGCAAAGUCCUUCACCCCCUGCCCAGAACUUUCCAUCCGGCCAGUUAAAGCAGGCUCUGCCUUCAAGCCCAAGCCAAGCCCCACCUCCUCCAGGAAGUCUCCCCACCCCUAGUUAGUCCUCCUGGACCUCUCCGGGCUCAAUUCCUACAGCCCUGGCCCCUGGGAGACACGUGGUCAUUAUGGGACGGCUGCUUUGGAGGUGGACAGGGCUUCACCACUAAGCUGAGGGACCUGGUGCAGGUUAAUCUGUCAACCUCAGUUUCUUACUCCGUAAAAUAGGUAUAAUUAUGGGAUGGUCAUGAGGAUUAAAUGAAGUGAGUAUAGAAUGUGCUUAGCAAAGAGAGGGGCACAGUCUAAGAGCUGUGUGUGUGUCAGCAUCUAUCAUAGGUGCCACACAGUCACGACUGGACAGCACACUUCUCCGUGCCCUGUCUUUUCACAGAGACAUGCAUGCAGCGUCCAGGGCAGCAUUUUACUCUCAGUGGGCACACCAUAAUUAUUUGUGGACCAAAAAGAGCCCUGUCAUGGUAAGCUGGAAUGGUCUUUCAGGAGUGCUCAGAACAGAACACACAGGUGUGUUCUUCUGGGCUCUCUCCUGUAUCUUCCUAUCCUGUGACAACCGCAACGGCCAAGGAUCAAGAAAGAAAAGAACAAAGGGCUUUGAAUCGCUGACUCCUCGGUGGAAAGAAUCCCAAAGGAUCCAAGGGAAUCCAGUGGGAUGCUCGGUGGUUCCUUAUUUCUGGUCGGUAGUGGGGUUUGCCAAUGGCUGGCAAAUGUAGAAACCAUUAGUACGGAAAUUUUUUUUUUUUGGUGAGGACGACUAGCCCUGAGCUAACAUCUGCUGCCUAUCCUCCUCUUUUUGCAGAGGACCUAACAACCUGAGCUAACAUCCUGGCCCUGAGCUAACAUCCGUGCCCA